rnacentral:rRNA from 1 species
GACGAACGCUGGCGGCGUGCUUAACACAUGCAAGUCGAACGGAAAGGCUCCAGCUUGCUGGAGUACUCGAGUGGCGAACGGGUGAGUAACACGUGGGUAAUCUGCCCUGCACUCUGGGAUAAGCCUGGGAAACUGGGUCUAAUACUGGAUAUGACCUUUCUCCUUAUGGGGUUUGGUGGAAAGUUUUUCGGUGUAGGAUGAGCCCGCGGCCUAUCAGCUUGUUGGUGGGGUGAUGGCCUACCAAGGCGACGACGGGUAGCCGGCCUGAGAGGGUGAUCGGCCACAUUGGGACCGAGAUACGGCCCAGACUCCUACGGGAGGCAGCAGUGGGGAAUAUUGCACAAUGGGCGGAAGCCUGAUGCAGCGACGCCGCGUGAGGGAUGACGGCCUUCGGGUUGUAAACCUCUUUCAGCAGGAACGAAGCGUAAGUGACGGUACCUGCAGAAGAAGCACCGGCUAACUAUGUG